CACACUUCUGUAGUCCUGGCCUACAGAAACCCAUGAUGGUUCUCUAUACUCUUUAUCUUUCCACAGCUUAAUGCAGAUAAGUAACAAGAUAUUGGAAGACGAGUGUUGAAGAUGAAAGAGGCACAAGAUAGAAGAAACCUGGGUCCUUAGAUCCCUGCUUGAAGGAAAACCACUUGCCAAUCCAGAACAUCAUUUUGGACUUCAUGCUGGACACAGUGGCUCACGUCUGUAAACCCAGCACUUUGGGAGGCCGACGCAGGCGGAUUACGAGGUCAGGAGAUCAAGACCAUCCUGGCUAACACGGUGAAACCCCAUCUCUACUAAAAAUACAAAAGAUCAGCGGGGCAUGGUGGCGGGCGCCUGUAGUCCCAGCUACUCAGGAGGCUGAGGCAGGAGAAUGGCGUGAACCCGGGAGGCGGAGCUUGCAGCAGUGAGCCGAGAUCGCGCCACUGAACUCCAGCCUGGGCAACAGAGCAAGACUCUGUCUCAAAAAAAAGAAAAAAAAAUAUAUAUAAAUCAUUAUUUACUCUCUGUUCAAAAAUCACUCAGCCAUAUAGAAUUUCCUGCUGAAGAAAAUUAGGAUAUAAAAAUUUUAAAAUUACGCCACCACUUUUUGUUUGUUUGUUUUUUAUCUCUAUCAGUUUGUUACCUUUAUUCCUGAAAGAAAGGCUCAAGACUCAUGUAAUACUCUAAGAUAGGUAUUAACAGGAAAUGUUCCUGGACAAUGUGGGUUUGCAAGAGAAACAAAGAAUUUAUUGUUGACUCGAUUACUAGCUCAAAGUAAUCAGAAAUUCCAUGAAAGACACUGCAAAUUGACCUCUUUUAAAAUUACCUUAAAAAGCUGAGGUUGAUUUGUAUUUCUUAAUCAGCAUCUCAGAACAAUGUACAUUCUUUCUGUAUAGUGUCAUGGGCAUCUGGGGCUUUGGCUUGAUCA
ensembl:lncRNA